rnacentral:rRNA from 1 species
UACGGGGGGGCAAGCGUUGUUCGGAAUUACUGGGCGUAAAGGGUUCGUAGGUGGCUUGCUCAGUCAGAUGUGAAAUCCCCGGGCUUAACCUGGGAACUGCAUUGGUGACUGCACGGCUAGAGUGUGUCAGAGGGGGUAGAAUUCCACGUGUAGCAGUGAAAUGCGUAGAAAUGUGGAGGAAUACCGAUGGCGAAGGCAGCCCCUGGGAUAACACUGACGCUCAUGCACGAAAGCGUGGGGAGCAAACAGG